AAUCAACGCUGGCGGCGUGCCUCAGACAUGCAAGUCGAACGAGAACCCUCCCUUCGGGGAGGGGACAGUGGCGCACGGGUGAGUAACACGUGGGUAAUUUACCUUUGGGUGGGGAACAACAGCCGGAAACGGCUGCUAAUACCGCAUAAUGCAGCGGCUCGACAUCGAGACAGUUGUUAAAGCGGGGAUCGCAAGACCUCGCGCCUGAAGAGAAGCCUGCGGCGGAUAGCUAGUUGGUAGGGUAAUGGCCUACCAAGGCGACGAUCUGUAACCGGCCUGAGAGGGCGGUCGGUCACACUGACACUGACAUACGGGUCAGACUCCUACGGGAGGCAGCAGUCGGGUAAUUUUGGGCAAUGGGCGAAAGCCUGACCCAGCAACGCCGCGUGAAGGAUGAAG
rnacentral:rRNA from 1 species